rnacentral:rRNA from 1 species
AAACCAACAGGGAUUGCCUCAGUAGCGGCGAGUGAAGCGGCAAAAGCUCCAUUUUGAAAGCUCUUCGGAGCGUUGUAGAUUGGUGGGAAGCUAACGGCUGGUGGGAGACCAAGUCCUCUGGAACGAGGCGCCAUAGAGGGUGAGAGCCCCGUGUGUCUCCUUUACCGACCUUUCAGCCCCCUCCGCGGAGUCGAGUUGUUUGGGAAUGCAGCUCUAAGUGGGUGGUAAAUUCCAUCUAAGGCUAAAUAUUGGCGAGAGACCGAUAGCGAACAAGUACAGUGAUGGAAAGAUGAAAAGCACUUUGAAAAGAGAGUGAAACAGUACGUGAAAUUGUUGAAAGGGAAGGGUAUUUGGCCCGACAUGGGUCCUAUGCACCGUUGCCUCUCGUGGGCGGCGCUCUGCUUGGGCCUGGGCCAGCGUCAGUUUGGAGGGGGCGAGAAGGGUUUUGGGGAGUUGCCUAGCAAUUCCCCUUUGCUAGAUUGCCCCACACCCGGACUGAGGACCGCCAUCUGUAGGAUGCUGGCACAACGGCCAAAUACCGC